UGUAUGAGUUGUGWUUGGGWUGUUUUUGCUGGCUGGCUCCGUGCUCGCGCAUCGAACAGCUCGCAUGCAACCCCUUUUCAAGCACACCUCGCCUGUUGUGGCGGCGGUGCACGAUCGCGGUUCCUGUGUCGCCUACCUCUUGAAUGGUAUUCGUGUGGCCUGUCGGAUUUUGUCCAUCCAGUUCUCCUCCUAGGGGUUCUGGGGGACUUCGAAGCGAUACAUUUGUUCCACGACAGUGGUUUGCUGCUGCAACUACCGUGGUGCAUAUGUAUUUGCUGUCCUCUCGGAUGCGGUCCACGGGGUGAAACAUGGGUAUUUCUCCCAUGCAGUCUCUCUAAUCUCGGUUGCCUUGAAACACACUCGCCUCGGCGCUCGUCUGCACUCCAUUCGUGGGGGCGCAYGCGGGCUCCGAUGAGCGAAGUUGUUAACGGACG
rnacentral:misc_RNA from 1 species